AGUGCCUAGAACAACAACAGAUGUGUGGAAUUAACUUUACAGAGAACACAGGCAGGCUUAGGGGGAGCUGACAAUCCACAUGCAAAAUAUAAAUUAAAAAAAAAAAUUGAAGACCUAACCUCCCAUGUGAAUGAGAUAGGGUCUUUAAGGAGGAACACAGAGAGGAGGCAGCCAUCUUCAAGCCAAGGAGAGCUUUAUCAUCACAGUCCCGCCAUGCUGUACCUUGAUCCAGACUUCCAAAUUCCAGAACUGUGAGAAAACCUGCUGAGCUACAGAAACCCAUAGAUUCCGCUCCAGUGAAUACCAGAGGUGGAUCACACUUAGAGACUUCUUGAGAGAACCCAAGAUGUGGCCCCAGAAGCUUUGGAAGAUUCUCAAAUAUGGAGAGUAGUUUCUACUUCCAUCCUAGAGAACUGUGGGAAGAACAUCCUGAAGAGAGCCCCACAAAGGCAGAGGAGGCACAGAUUGGCCUGUGCCUUCAGAGACUCGCCUGGACAAGGCAGAAGCAGCAUUUUGAGGACCACGUGGCUGGGUGUGGGAUGUGAAGGAAUAAUAAGGAAAGAUGGUGCAGAACUGUCCAGGCCACUCUACUCUCUAUUCCAGGCCUGAGAGCGUGAACCAAGGGGAGGCUGACACUUCAGGCUGGGUGUGAAGUCAACCCUUUGGUUUAGAUUCACCUGGACUUUUUAAUACUUGAAAGUGAGUCUUGAAAGUGUCUGGAUGAGAGAGCUUCUGGGGUGGGGAAGGAAUCUAGCAAAGCAUGUUUGAAGGCAGUGAUGCAAGAAAACGUUUUUCCUUGUGUCCUCCGUUGAGUUCAGCUCUCUCAGUACACUGGUUAUACAAAUUUAAAAAGACUCAGUCCUGUCUGAGUUCAUAUGUGUCACUGCCCUGAUUAUCAUACUGUCCUGAUUUGCAAUGCUUGUGGCCCUUCACAUGUCUGGGCCUGUACCUCUGUCACCCGAGGGUCAGGAGGAGGAUGGGGCCAAGAAUUGAGGCAAAUGCGUCUAGUAGGGUAACAGGCCAAUGUGUGCCGUGUGCCAACUGAAGCAGCCUGUCAGAGCAGGUGAAGUUCCCACUGCAAACACUCAUUUAUGAUCCUGCUGUUUCUCUAGGGUUAGAGUAGCAUGCAGACAACUGAAAGAAAGAGUUUGUGAUGUCUGCAGGACACUAUGGCUUAUUAUAUGUAGCCCCUUUUAAAAUUAAGUGGAGAGAGUCAGCCCUGAAGUUAUGGGUAUUAUCAAUAAAUACUUGAAAGCCUA